UCUACAUUGCUGAUUUCUAUCCCACUUCCCCCAUUUUUUCACUCUGCCCACAAGGCCAUGGGGAAGGACUUUGGCAGGUGUCUGAAUACACUGAGACCCAUUUUCUGUUAUCUUUGCACCUGAAAACCCUGAGGACAGCAAGAACAUGCUGAGUCUGCAUUCAGCCUGAGCCUAGGUCGUGCCCUGGCGCUUCUGACUUGACAGCCUCCAACUCAGCACGAAUGUCUCACCCUUUGCUGUGUCUUGUCCACUCUUCAAGUGCUCCCAGUGCCAUGCGGGAACUUCUAUGGGACUCUCCUCCGUGCCAGUGUGGAAAGUUCCCUCUCCUCCCCUCUUGCCCACUUCCCACGUGCUCACAUUUAGAGAGUCUCUUAAAAUCAAACUCCCCCAGUACGGAAGGGCUGCUGGCAGCCCCAGAUCCAGCCAGCUAGGCCUGAAGACUGGGCACACUGGAGCAAGGCUCUCAGCCCCUUGGGUAAUGGGGCUGCAUGCAAGAAGGAGGUGGAGGAUUGCAUUUGGCCCGGGGUCAUCCUGGGAGACCCAGGGCUCCUCCCUGCCGAGCUACCUGAGCAAUCUGGGGAGCCCACUGCUGCUGUUGGACCAGUCCCAGCAUCUCUGAGCGAUACUCUGUGACCUGGCUUCCUGGACCCUUCCCAGCGAGGAGAACCAAUCCACAUUUUUUGCUUCUACCAUGUCCACCUAAACAAUGACUUAUUUUUCCCUGCACUGCUUUAAAAUAUAUUAUGUAGGCUGGGGAUAUAGCUUAGUCGUGCAGCACCUACCUGGCAAGAGCAAGAUCCUGAGUUUGAUUCCUCACAUCCCCUCAAAAAUAUUUAUAUUACAGAAACUUAGUAUUUGAAAAAAAAAUUAUAUACCAAUUACAAAUAGAAAAAUGAAAGCUAAUUCCAAAAAGAAAUAUAUAUAAUUCCAUAACCUGGUGUUGGGGAGGCCAAGGGUUGUGGAGUGGAGCUGGGGCUCUCUGAGGUGGGGUGAUCGAUGGGGGGCCAUUGGCCAGUGUUUGCAACCCCGAUUUCUCCUGGGCCUCAUCUCAGAGGGUGCAGAGAAUGAGUCAGAGACACCUGCCUCCUCACGGGGUCAAACAGCUGCACCAGGCAAGGCUGGGCCUGAAUCCUUCCG
rnacentral:lncRNA from 1 species